rnacentral:rRNA from 1 species
UACAGAGGUCCCAAGCGUUGUUCGGAUUCACUGGGCGUAAAGGGUGCGUAGGUGGCGAGGUAAGUCGGAUGUGAAAGCUCGGAGCUCAACUCCGAAAUGGCAUUGGAAACUACCUUGCUCGAGGGUUGGAGGGGGGACUGGAAUUCUCGGUGUAGCAGUGAAAUGUGUAGAUAUCGAGAGGAACACCAGUGGCGAAGGCGAGUCCCUGGACAACUCCUGACACUGAGGCACGAAAGCUAGGGGAGCAAACAGG